GUCCGCAUACACACUCACGCCCCGGGGGCGCGGCCGCCACGUGGGGAGUGGCGCGGGGGUGGUACUGGGACCGCACCCCCUCUCGUCCUGGCUGCGUGGGCCCGCUUUCCCCGGUCUCUGGAGACUCCGAGCCCGGCGGGUCCCACGCUCCACGCGAGCAGAAUUCCCGCAGGUCUCCCGCCCGGGUGGCCAGAGGCGGUGGCGGGGAUGGCGGGCUCCGGGAGGCGCUCCGGCUCCGAGAAGCCGCUUAGCCCCGCGCUCCUCCCUCCGCAGUGCCGCCGCCGGCGGGCCGGGAUUCCCGCGGGUCUCGGCGGCCGCGAGCUGCAGGCGGCGCGGGUCCCCGGCUCGGUUGGUCACCUUGCCCGCCUCGCCUCCCACGGCUUCCAGCGGGCGCGGAGCUCUCCUCUGCGCGCCUCCCCGGCCCGUCUCGGUUUCCCUUCUUCGUCCUCUAGACCAUCCAGCGCAACUCCGUCGACCUCCGCGGCCCUGAGAGAGCAUCCGGCGCGGGCAGAGGCGUACCGGCCCGACCUCACGCCUCUCAUGGACUCUUCUCCAGGGUACCAUGGCCCAGAUGAGAAACUGAGUCUCCAGGGAGUUAAGUGACUCACCCAAGACCCUCGGAGCUGGGAUUCACGCCUGGAUCUGCUUGGCCCUUUCUGCUGUAUCACGUGGCUCUCCCAGACACUGGACAGGAUCUUUUAUGACUCUUGACGACACAAUGGAUGGAAGGCGGGGCCUGAGAAUGGAAGGUCUUCUGCUCAGGACCUGUCUUGAUCCCCAUGGGCCCAGAUUGAGUUGCUGGGACUGGAUGCGUCACCUCCCAGGGACCUGACAAGCAAGAUUCAGAGCAGCAGGAAGGACCGAGGGCCAGGUUGCUGCCCUGACUCUUGGAGUACUCCUGGAGCCGGACCCACCUGCCCUUUGCUGCUUGUCUAUUUCUCCCUUCUCCUUUUCCUUGUCUCAUCUUCAUUUCUUUUUCUAUUCCUCCUCCCCAUUCCCCUUCCUUUCUCCUCUUUUCUCUCUCCUUUUCUUCCCUUUUCACAGCUCACUUGAGAAGACCUGGCCUUGGGCUCUGGAGGUGACAGAUGAACCCUAGAAGCCCUCCAGAGAGGGGCUCCCCACUCCCAUCCCCUCUGAGGACUCAGCCCCGGAACCACACACGCUUCUGGGACUCUGUGGCCCUUUAAAGUCAUUGUGGACUUCCCUGCUGGUCCAGUGGUUAAGGUUCUGCCUGCCGACGCAGGGGACAUGGGCUCAGUCCCCCGGGACUAGGAAGGUUCCACAUACUUGGAGCAACUGAGCCCAUGCGCCAUGACUGCUGAAGCCCUUGAGCCCUAGAGCCCACGCUCUGCAAUAGGAGAAGCCACUGCAGUGAGAAACCCACACACCACAACCAGAGAGCAGCCCCCACGCCCCACGACUAGAGAAAGCCCACGGGCAGCAAACAAGACCCAGCAAAGCCAAAAUAAAGGUGUUAAAACCUUAAAAAGUAAAGUCUCUGCCUCCCCACUGCAUUUUAAUAAUCACUCCAAGAGUAGCUCUGAGUCAGAACUCAUGCCCUUUCCUCCUUCUCUCUGGAGACGAAACAUCCCAGCCUUCCUGCAGUGCUGCUAAAGGGUGGCCCCCCUACCUGCUGGAAGACCUGCUGGCUCGGACUUCGGAGCGCCUCUGCCCCAGCUUCACUGUAUGAGGAUGGUCCCUUCUGCACCGGUUGACCUUUUCUGGGAUUGAACUUGGAGCUGUUCUUCCUCCUGACUGUGCUCAGAUUACAGCCUGCCCUGGCUGGACCUCCAUGUUCAGUUACCUGGGUCAUUCCUAGGCAGCCUCAGCCUGAUAGGGUUCCUCUCGUGUGUUGACCGUCUCUUCUGCUCUGUCCUGCAGGGACCAGGUCAGACUCAACCCCCUCUGCAGUACUGUUCCCUGCCUCUCGGCACUGCUUGGAACAUAAAUGCAAAUGGAUGAUUCUGGUAAAAAACAAAACGUCCCAGCUCAUGUCUUUUUUUCUUUUUUUUUGCUCAGAUUUGAUAUAUGUUUAUUUAAUGUGAUUUCAAGCAAAAAGAAGAGACAAUAAAGUGGACAAUUCUGUUCUGAGUCCCUUUGGAAGCCAGGCAUUCAUAAAAUAUCAUUUCUACACUUAGGAAAAGACCAGCUCGUAUCUUGUAAUUACCAAAUGCCUUCCCCCUUCCAAUGAUCUUCUCCCUACACUGAUGAUUUUGGAUGGAGUUUACAGUAAAAAAGACUGAUUAAAAAUUGGAAGCUCUAUAAAUGAAAAUAAAAAUGCUUAACACUGGUAAGUAUUGUUUGAACUUUAAUGUAAAGAGAAAGCGUGUUAAGAUGACCAUUUUCUGGACAACUUCAAAUUCUUAUGAAGUUCUGAGUUUCGUUCCUGUCUGUUGGGGUUCCUGGCUAGGUGCUUCUCCUUUUGGAAUCCUGACCAAGCGGGCACUGAAGUGGGGUGUGAAGAAUUUGGGCUCAGGUUGCAUAAGCCUGGGUUGAAAUUUCUCAUUCACUGGCUUUGUGACCUUUCUGAACCUCAUUUUCUUAUCUGUACAGUGGGGAUGAAGGAGCUACUACAUAGAGUGGAUGUGAGGGUGAGAGAAGAUGUGUGCAGGACCAGGGGCAAUGCCUGGCGCAUCAUUCUGCCUUGAGAACACACCCAGAAUUUACCUCUGCUGCUCUGGUGGCGGGCUGAGCACCAUCCCCCACCUCAGUCCCCCAGGGGUCUGUUCUCUACACUGCUGCCACAGUGAUCCUGUUAACAUUUAAGUCACAUCACAUCACUCCUCUGCUCAAAACAUUCAGUCGCUUCCAUCUCACUUGGAGCAAAAGCGAAGAUCAUCACAGUAGCCGCAAGGUCCCACAGGCUCAGCCUCUCCGUUUGUCACUGUCUCUACUCUUCUCCCCCAUUUCACUUCCUUCCAACCACACCCCUCUCCUGGCUGUUCCCCAAACAUCUCAGCCACAUUCCUGCCUCAGGACCUUUGCACGUUCUGUGCCGGUUGCUGGAAUGCUCUUCCCCCAGAUAUCCUCAUGGCUCCCUCUGUUGUCCGCUUCAGGUCGUUACUCAGAUGUCACCUUUUCCAUGAGAACUAGCCUGCUCUUCUCUCCAAUUUAUUUUUGUCUAUGACAUUUAUCACCCUCUAGUAUAUCAUGCCAUACUUUUAAUUUAUUUCCUAUGGUUGCUUGUCUCUCUCCAGUAUGGUUCUUACAAGAGAAUUCUUGUAAGAGCUUCUUACAAGAGAAUGUAAGCUCCUUGAGAGCAGGGAUUUUUGUCUUUGUUUUCACCAUCUGCAAUGGUGUUCAAUAAAUUUUUGUUGAAUGGAUGAACUGCUUGUUAUUUUGGAGAGUUCCAAAGCAUAGGAAAGUUAUGACCAACGUAGACAGGAUAUUAAAAAGCAGAGACAUUACUUUGUCAACAAAG
ensembl:lncRNA